rnacentral:rRNA from 1 species
CAACUUUUGACAACGGAUCUCUUGGCU